rnacentral:rRNA from 1 species
UACGGAGGGUGCAAGCGUUGCUCGGAAUUAUUGGGCGUAAAGGGUAGGUAGGUGGUCUCAUUUGUCUGGGGUGAAAGCCUUGAGCUUAACUCAAGAAGUGCCCCAGAAACGGUGAGACUGGAGUCCUGGAGAGGGUCGUGGAAUUCCCGGGUGUAGCGGUGAAAUGCGUAGAGAUCGGGAGGAACACCAGAGGCGAAAGCGGCGACCUGGACAGGCACUGACACUCAACUACGAAAGCGUGGGGAGCAAACAGG